UACGAAGGGGGCUAGCGUUGCUCGGAUUGACUGGGCGUAAAGGGCGCGUAGGCGGUUCGUACAGUCAGACGUGAAAUUCCUGGGCUCAACCUGGGGGCUGCGUUUGAUACGUGCGGACUUGAGUGCGGAAGAGGGUCGUGGAAUUCCCAGUGUAGAGGUGAAAUUCGUAGAUAUUGGGAAGAACACCGGUGGCGAAGGCGGCGACCUGGUCCGAUACUGACGCUGAGGCGCGAAAGCGUGUGGAGCAAACAGG
rnacentral:rRNA from 1 species